CGUACAUCGUCGGCGAUGCCGUGUUUCGCGAAUUCGCCAUCGCCAGUGCGACUGUGUCAACGUGGUAAUCCGCAUUCCAGAUGUUGACAAAGGCAAAACAGAUCAUCCUAAUCUCAUCGGAGUAGUGUUAGAAAAAACAGAGUACGAUCUAUAUAGACUCGGUGUAAGGAUGGAAUUUUAGAAAAACUUUAUUGUAGGUCUGAAUUUAUAACAAAGAAAAAUUUAUCACAGAGAAUCAAGUUCCAAAAAAUCAUAGUGUAAGAGAAGGUUGUUGGAAAUUUAGUUGACCAAAUCCAGUGUAGAAUUUUUAGCUCUCAGCGCGAAAACCCGUGCUAAUGGCGGCGAAAGUAAAUAUUAAAGAUUUUUAUAUAUACCUAAAACUAUGAUGUAUUCAAGUAAACUAUAAAUUGAGGCUAUUAAUAUUGCCGCUGUUAUAAUGUCGGUCUUGCACUCGACAACGAAAAUUGAAAUAGAAUUUUUAAAUAAGGUUAUCGUCAUUGGAUUUCAUUAUGCGACGAUUAAAAAUCUUGGAAAUAUCUCUAUUUCAGAAAUUUGAAACUUAGGGAACUGGAGUAAUGUAGCUAAAAUAAAGCUUUAUAUUUCGUCUCCAAUCAAAAGAUAUUGUAAAAUUGUUUAGUUUAUUAAUCACCUCUCUUCUUUUUUUUAUAUCUUUAAUUGUGUUUUUUGUGUAUUGUAAUUAUUUAUAGUUGUUAUCAGACUUUGUAUUUAGAAAGUCCAAUAUACAUGACAUUUAGUAGUGACGUGAGAUUUGUAGAGUGUGACAUACCGUCAAUAAAGUUGUUCCAACAUCCCGAUUGUUUGUUUCACCCGUUGAUUCUGUUUCGUGUACGUAUGUCAAAAGAAUUUAUUUAAU